AGAGUUUGAUCCUGGCUCAGGAUGAACGCUAGCGGCAGGCUUAACACAUGCAAGUCGAGGGGCAGCGGGGAGGAAGCUUGCUUUCUCCGCCGGCGACCGGCGCACGGGUGAGUAACACGUAUGCAACCUGCCCCUGUCAGGGGGACAACCCGCCGAAAGGCGGGCUAAACCCGCGUACAUGCCACCGGGGCAUCCCGGAGGCAGGAAAGGCUUCGGCCGGACAGGGAUGGGCAUGCGGCGCAUUAGGCAGUAGGCGGGGUAACGGCCCACCUAACCGACGAUGCGUAGGGGUUCUGAGAGGAAGGUCCCCCACACUGGUACUGAGACACGGACCAGACUCCUACGGGAGGCAGCAGUGAGGAAUAUUGGUCAAUGGUCGGGAGACUGAACCAGCCAAGCCGCGUGAGGGAGGAAGGUACAGAGUAUCGUAAACCUCUUUUGUCAGGGAACGAAGACUGGGACGCGUCCCCGGAUGAGUGUACCUGAAGAAAAAGCAUCGGCUAACUCCGUGCCAGCAGCCGCGGUAAUACGGAGGAUGCGAGCGUUAUCCGGAUUUAUUGGGUUUAAAGGGUGCGCAGGCGGUCUGUUAAGUCAGCGGUCAAAGCCCGGGGCUCAACCCCGGCCCGCCGUUGAAACUGGCAGUCUCGAGUUGGAGAGAAGUAUGCGGAAUGCGCGGUGUAGCGGUGAAAUGCAUAGAUAUCGCGCAGAACUCCGAUUGCGAAGGCAGCAUGCCGGCUCCACACUGACGCUGAGGCACGAAAGCGUGGGUAUCGAACAGGAUUAGAUACCCUGGUAGUCCACGCAGUAAACGAUGAAUGCUGGCUGUCCGGGGGGACUGACCCCUGGGUGGCGAAGCGAAAGCGAUAAGCAUUCCACCUGGGGAGUACGCCGGCAACGGUGAAACUCAAAGGAAUUGACGGGGGCCCGCACAAGCGGAGGAACAUGUGGUUUAAUUCGAUGAUACGCGAGGAACCUUACCCGGGCUCAAACGGGGAGUGGCGCAGGCAGAGACGCCUGUUUCCCACGGGACACUCCCCGAGGUGCUGCAUGGUUGUCGUCAGCUCGUGCCGUGAGGUGUCGGCUUAAGUGCCAUAACGAGCGCAACCCCCGCGUGCAGUUGCUAACAGUCAACGCUGAGGACUCUGCACGGACUGCCGGCGCAAGCCGCGAGGAAGGCGGGGAUGACGUCAAAUCAGCACGGCCCUUACGUCCGGGGCGACACACGUGUUACAAUGGGUGGUACAGCGGGAAGCCAGGCGGCGACGCCGAGCGGAACCCGAAAUCCACUCUCAGUUCGGAUCGGAGUCUGCAACCCGACUCCGUGAAGCUGGAUUCGCUAGUAAUCGCGCAUCAGCCAUGGCGCGGUGAAUACGUUCCCGGGCCUUGUACACACCGCCCGUCAAGCCAUGGGAGCCGAGGGCGCUUGAAGUGCGUCGCCGCGAGGCGCGCCCUAGAGCGAAAUCGGUGACUGGGGCUAA
rnacentral:rRNA from 1 species